CAAUUUUUUUAUUGGAUUUAUUUAUAACGUUAUAUGGCAAUAAACGACAAGGUCAAUAUUUUUGUAGAUGCCAUUGCAGGUUUAUAGGCACUUUGUGUGAUAUCCACGUCAGAAAAUAGACGUAUACUUUGAGAUAGUAUGACAGAAAUGUUUGGGAAAAGAAAUAUAUCGUAGGUGUCAUAUCUCCUUCAUGCUCUUCUUUUGUGAGAUGUGUUAAAAAAUAGGAAUCAAGAAAGAAUCUAUUUCGAGAAUUUAGGAGCAAAGCGAAAAGGUAGCUAUGCGUAGCUUUAUGCGGGUUAUCCAGGGUUCGGCGUACUUUGAAAGCGCCCGGGGAACAGCUUUCAGCGAGGGUGUUAUGGAACUUUACGCAUAAUUAGCUUUUGGUUCUAUACUAUAAUAUAAUAACAUUAAGGUACAAUGACUUAGUAAAAAAAAAUGUAUGAGUUUUUACAUUAAAAAGUGCAAAAUAAACUAAUUUAUUAAAGUAUUUUUAUUAUGUUAUAAGAUACAUUCCAGUGAUUUUAUAUUAUGUAUAUGCGUACUGACAGUUGAUAUUUUUAGAUAUCUAGAGAAAUGUAUUGUUUGAAAAAUAUGAUAUAUUUGUUUUUGGAAAUAACAAAUUAUAUAUUUUUUUAGUGUCUUUAUUAAUAUGAUUUAUAAACAAAAUACAACUGAUUUUUAGUUUAUAGUUCGUAUAAGGCAUAGUUACAUGUGUGAGGUUGCCCUAAAAUAAGCUAGUCAACCAAGAUGGCGGACUAAAAUAACUUGAUUAGAGACUUGGCUUGAAAAAUAAAUAUUUUAAAUUGUUUAUUUAUUUACGAGUGAUACUGAAAUAAUAACUUUGGAUACCUCAUUCAUACAGAUGGCUACAGAUUUUACGAAAUCUCAAUUGUUUUUUCAUUCUUAAACAAACAAUUAUAUUAACAAACAAAUAAUGAAUAAUUUAUAUUAAUAUAUAUAAAAAUAUUCAAGUAAUGAUAUAAAAAUAUGAAACCU